CUAGGAGAUAGCUGUCAUUUUUGGAACUUCUGAGUCUCUCUGUGCCAGUGGAAGAUGACUGAAGAAGACAGUUUAUGAGAUGGCCUAACACCCAAUAUAGAGGACUAGUGUUCUCAGGAACCAAUUACAAAUGGAUUUUCAUCAAUCUGAACUAUCAGUGUACAGCAGAGAGGAGAGAGAUUAAAGCAAGAAAUCAAGAAAGGAUGCUCAUGAAUAUCAAAGGAAGAAGGUAACAGAAGCCUAAAAGCCUGGGGCAUCUUGGUUAAGAAGGACAACAA